rnacentral:sRNA from 1 species
AGCAUCUGUCACUUCAUUUAUGCUUGUUACCUUUUCAUAGAAGAAAGUACUAUCUUUACUCUUUAUUAACCUCUGUUAUCUUGAAAAAUAACACAAAUUAAUCUUUUGCGGAAGAAUCCUGAUGGCGUUGGGGGGAUGGAAAGUACACGGGGCAUUGUGUUCCCAGGUUUCUGAGUCUGCAUGCUAGAGCAGCUUUCUGCUUCUUCUAUUAAUGCAGCAUUUUCACUUUGUCUCUCAGGGUUUACGGUCCAGCAGAGUCUCAGAGCGCAGUCUUUGGAGAUGUGUGCCCCCUACUCACGUCUCUCUUGGAUGGGUACAAUAUUUGCGUUAUGGCGUAUGGACAGACGGGCAGUGGAAAGAGCUAUACCAUGCUGGGACCCCAUUCGGACGAUGGCCCUGUUCUGCCGCUUGACCCACAGAGUGACUUAGGAAUUAUCCCUAGAGUGGCUGAGGAGCUCUUCAGGGCACAGUGAUUUGCGGCACUGGAAUCCUCA